rnacentral:lncRNA from 1 species
GCCGACCCACAGAUAAAAGGUCAAGAAAAACCAGGAAGAGAGAGAGAGGGCGGGAAGGAUCUAUGAACCAUAGAGAAAGAGACAAUCUACAUUGGCUGGAUUUACCGUGUACGAGCUGGACUGUUUUGGACUUACCUGUUGGCGUUUAGACCUGGACCUACCGAGAACCAGAUUUUUGUACCGAACCCUGCUAUCCUUGACCUUACCUGCGGCCUGGGUGGACCAGGACAGCGAAACAAACACACAGACACUGUCGCCUGGGUUUGCAUUGCAAAUGAGGGCAUAAACUGGGUCAAGACGCCAGCAGAAGCAUACUGGCUGGCAGCUGGUCGCCAGUUCACCCUACGGGCAAAAGGGAGAAUUGGACGAGGUGUAUGGC